GCGGAUGGCCGGACGGCCGCGGGGGCCGCAAGGCCCGCGAGGAAAGUCCGGACUCCAGGGAGAGAUGGCGGCGGGUAACGCCCGCCCGGGGAGACCCGAGGGAAAGCGCCACAGAGAUCAGACCGCCGCCCUCCGGGGCGGCAAGGGUGAAACGGUGGGGUAAGAGCCCACCGCGCCGGCGGCGACGCCGGCGGCACGGCAAGCCCCGCCAGGAGCAAGGCCGAAUAGGGAUCGCGCGGACCUCCGGGUCCAGGUUUCUCCCGCCCAUGCGAUCCGGGUAGGCUGCUCGAGCCCGUCCGCAAGGCCGGGCCUAGAGGAAUGGUCGUCGCCGCCCCGCGAGGGGCGGGCACAGAAUCCGGCUUACAGGCCAUCCGCGCGC
rnacentral:RNase_P_RNA from 1 species